CAUGAUUUCAUAAGACAGCGUGCAUGAAAUGCUAGGAAACCUGCUAAAUUCCUGUAGUCUGUAGCCCAAUCGGGAGCUGUUAAAAUUACCCAAAGGUGUAAGGCACACAGGCUAUUAAAUGUGAUAACGCGCUAAAAAGUGACACUGCACACACUAGUGAGAUACUGUAUAUGGUUAAGGAGAACUGAACAUCCAAGGUUCUACUACUACUUCACAGGCAUAAUAGCCUAUACAUGGUCCAGAGACCCACACGUGAAAAUAAAGUCAGUCAUAGAACCCACCACUUUGAGCUAUGCAGUCUGCCAUUCCUGUUCUGUUCGCCCCACAUAACCAGUGGCAACCCGUUAUUCAGGGCGGUGCAUGUUAUGUUGGCAUUAAUACAUGUCACAUAUCAGUUUGCAAACUGCAGUUUGCAAACUGCAUAUAUACAUAUAUACAUACAUACAUAUAUACGGAAUGUUGCGCCGUGAUUGGUUCAGUGUUCUGUCACUCCUGGGGACACUACGUCACCACCAAGUCUAAGGGUAGAGCUCUACAAUUCUAGCCCGUUGGGUGCUGCCAUAUAGUUACAUUAGAAGUGCCCAUCCAAGAAGGCUCAAGGUCAUUGGCCAAAGAUGAAAUUACGUCAAAUCACAUUAUAUCUACAGUAGCUUUGAUUGGACUGAUCAUGUCAACAUCAUACUUUCAAAAUCUUAGCUAGCAGUCAUCCUCAUGAAUCAAGUCGACAAUCUACUGGCAAAUCCUUUUUAAUCCUUGUCAAAUGAAGAGAAAUUAUGAAGAUAAAUUAUAGAUAAAACAUAUUGGUCAUUGAACAUAAACAUUGCACAACAAGUUGAAAAUGGAAAAUUCAAGAAUGAGUGGUUUGGAAGGAAUCAGUGGCUAACUGCAAGCAUUUCAAAGCAAUCAUUAGCCUGCUACUCAGUAGAGAGGCUGUGUGGUCGAAAGUCUAAGAUGAAGGGUCUAUUUUCUUAGUUUAAAAUUAUAAACAUUCAACAUUGGCCAUGCUGUCAAUGAAGCAUGAUUUACGCCGCCCUCAAACAACUGUUAACUCGGGAACUGCAAGAUCUGACUUUAGUGAGUUCAAGACAACAGGGAACUUGGGUAAAAUGAGCUACGACUGGGAAAACACGUUUUUCUAGAGCUACGACCUGAAUAUCACUGACGUCAUCAUGAUUUAACCUUUUUUUUCAGAGUUCCCAGUUGUCUUGAAAGCACCAUAAAUCUAGAGAAUGCCAGACUUUGAUGGGUGUUGGUGCUCGUGGGCUAGAUGCAGCUGGCAACACCAGCUCUGGAUGCUGGAAGUUGGAUGACUCCUCGUGGGCUAGAUGCAGCUGGCAACACCAGCCCUGGGUGCUGGAGGUCGGAUGACCCCUCGUGAGCUAGAUGCAGCUGGCAACAUCAGCCCUGGGUGCUGGAGUUCGGAUGACCCCUCGUGGGCUAGAUGCAGCUGGCAACACCAGCACUGGAUGCUGAUCUCUUGAAGUGGUCUUAGAAUUCAACACAGCCCCUCUCCCGGGAGAAGCCAUAGCAGACUGGACCCCCGGCCUGUGAUACCACUGACUGGGUCCUGGGUUGACUUCCGGAUGGCAGGAAGGCCUGGGGUGGUUGGGCAGGAGUUGCUAAAUCUCUAUCUCCCCCCAGCCAACUAACAAGGAACAAAGGGUUUAAGUUGAUUGAAAUGCACCACAGUUUCGGGACCUCCCUCCGCCAGUGCUAUCUGAUACAGGACAUCUGAAACCCGGUCUAACACUUUGAAAGUGCCCUUGUAGUGCCUCUAACUAUGACAUACCCCCACUUCCUGGCCUUAUUUCAAACCCAAACCAAUUUCACCCACAGAACAAUAUUGACAAUUGUCCCUAAAAUCAAAGUUAGCUUUCUGUUGACCAGAGGCUCUAGCUUGGUGUCUUUUCACUGUCCCCGCAACAGUAGGCAAAGUGUCAACCAGCCUCGAUAUACUGUAUAUUCACAGAUGUAAACUUUUCCACUGUGAUCUAUGUCUAGCAUCACAUUGAUUGGAAGAACUCACCACCUGGAUUCGAUCUUAUGUAGCAAAAUUUGAAAUUGUGUUUUUUACAUUGGAUAAAAGUAGAGACUCAGAGCUACAAAAUGGUAUAUCAUACACUGCAUUUUUUAGGUACAAUGGGAAAGUAAUUGUCACACCCUGACCUGAGAGAGAUGUUUUAUUUCUCUAUUUUGUUAGGUCAG
rnacentral:lncRNA from 1 species